rnacentral:rRNA from 1 species
AUUGAACGCUGGCGGCAGGCCUAACACAUGCAAGUCGGGCGAGAGGCGGACGGGUGGCCAAUGAAUCGGGAUCUGCCUGAUGGAGGGGGAUAAAUACCGGAAACGGUAGCUACUACCGUAUUCCAUCGGCUGAACCCAUAUGGGAUUAGCUAGUGGGGGAGGUAACGGCUUACCAAGGCGACGAUCCCUAGCUGGUCUGAGAGGAUGAUCAGCCACACUGGAACUGAGACACGGCCCAGACUCCUACGGGAGGCAGCAGUGGGGAAUAUUGCACAAUGGGCGAAAGCCUGAUGCAGCCAUGCCGCGUGUAUGAAGAAGGCCUUCGGGUUGUAAAGUACUUUCAGUCGGGAGGCGUUACCGACAGAAGAAGCACCGGCUAACUCCGUGCCAGCAGCCGCGGUAAUUC